rnacentral:rRNA from 1 species
GCCAGACUCCUACGGGAGGCAGCAGUGGGGGAUAUUGCACAAUGGGGGGAACCCUGAUGCAGCGACGCCGCGUGGGUGAAGGAGCGUUUCGGCGCGUAAAGCCCUAUCGGCAGGGAAGAAGGAGGACGGUACCUGACUAAGAAGCCCCGGCUAACUACGUGCCAGCAGCCGCGGUAAUACGUAGGGGGCAAGCGUUAUCCGGGUUUACUGGGUGUAAAGGGGGCGCAGACGGCAGCGCAAGCCAGGAGUGAAAGCCCGGGGCCCAACCCCGGGACUGCUCUUGGAACUGCGCGGCUGGAGUGCAGGAGGGGCAGGCGGAAUUCCUGGUGUAGCGGUGAAAUGCGUAGAUAUCAGGAGGAACACCGGUGGCGAAGGCGGCCUGCUGGACUGCGACUGACGUUGAGGCCCGAAAGCGUGGUGAGCAAACAGGAUUAGAUACCCCAGUAC